CAACAAAUUGCGUCGAAAACAGCGUUGUGCGAAAUUGCGCAGCGCCGAUGGAAGGGACACAGAUUCAUCGAGUUGCAGUUUUUUCUGGAUAUUAAAUAACCUUCAGUGAGCACGAAACAAAGUUCAAAUGCGGUAGUAACUGCUGCGCGCACGCACACACGCGCGGACAGGCAGACAAGCUGGGAUGACCCGCCGCGGUGGCUUAGCUGCUGUGGUGUUGCGCUGCUGAGCGCGAGGUCGAGGGAUCACAUCCCGGCCGCGGCAACCGCAUUUCGAUGGGGGCGAAAUGCAAAAGAAAAAAAAAAAAGAAAGGCCGUGUCCCGUGCACUGGGGGCACGUUAAAGAUCUCCUGGUGGUCAAAAUUAAUGUACCGAUGUACCGAGUGUGCCAUAUGGCGCGUGCAAUUUUUUUUUGAUGAUGCCAUUAAAACAAAAAUUGAUGUGUACGUCGCGGACAGCUUGUUUCGCUCGGAGAGCGCGCGGGUCAGAGGCGCGCGCGUCCGGGCUCCAGGUUCCUGGAAUUUCCGAAUUCGCAUGCCAGGAGACGCGCUCCCGGUCACAGACGCGUGUCUCGGCAGCCUCGCUGAUAGGAGUGUUUACUUCUGCUCUGUGGCAAAUGCUUCACGCAGUAGGAGCCAUUUAUUGCGGGUGACGGUAUCCGUUAAUCGUCUUGUUCUACUAAAUGCGCACGGCGCGGCUCAUGUGUCACUUGACGGCUAGACGUGCAAAACUUUUCCAGGGAUAUUCCGCAAGCAUACUUUCUGCAACUGAUUGUAAUGCAAGGAGUGAAGGAGAGAGAGACAAAGAAACGAAUUGUGCGAUCUCCUGAGAGAACGGCUGGGAAAUAAAGCCUUGCAGAUCCUGAUAUGCCACGUGGCAACCUAUAGGCACUCGUCGACACGGAAAGUCGGUGGCUGCAGCGUAAAUCGCGACUUCUUAUUCAAGCAAACACACCAAAAUACAUACACACACCCACCAACACUAGCGUGCGCGCGCUCCUGCAUUAUUAUUAUUAUUAUUUUUAGCGAGCAGCUAGAAGAAAUAUUAGGAAAUAAAUAUGCGCCUCCUCUUGUCUUAUCCUACAUACAGUUGCUAUAUAUUUUACAUUCGCUGUAAGAAAUUUUCGUCACUUUAGCUUAUCGCUAUUUCUUUGCUAUCGGAUAAGACACAGCUGAGUCCAUCCCUAAACGACUGAGACAUCUUACAAAAGGCGAGAGGUACUUUUUUGUCAACGGUCGGUGCUGCGCCGGCCAUAAUUAAUAGCCGUCCAGUGUCUUGGGCGCCGAGACCAGGGUUGCAAGCCAUAGCAGGCUUGAACACGAUUUUGUUGUUCCCCCACAAUAUCUGUAUAUUCGCCGCUCACCAUAGACCGUUUACAACGUUCCUUCGCAUUCCAUCGCUUUCGGUUCUGGCGAUUCGACCCCCUUGGCUACGCACCAGGAUGAAAAUGCGUCACGUGUUCGCAAGAGCGCGUCGCACACGUGGUUCGCCGCAAAAAAAAAAAAAAAAAAAAAAAGAAAAAAAAGAAAAAAGAAACUGCGCGCCGCGUGUAUGACGCUGGCGAUGACGCCGACCCCGUUCUCCUCGUCUUCCCAAUCGUUCCUGCGUUCCCGGCUAUAACAAACAAGAUAAGAAAACAGAGAAGGGAUGGCCACAUUUUCUCGCAUGACCGUUACCCAAGCUCGCACGAGGACAUCACUGUUGGCGGCGGAGUUCCGAAGGGAGGUUAAAAAAAAAAAAAGAAGAAACGCGAAGCGCACUCACCCCAUCGAAGAUCCCUUGGCGCCGGGGACGACAGCGGCGAAGGAGGAGGAGGAGGAGGAGGAGGAAGGAAACGGCCUCGGCGAUUAACGCUUAUCUCUGACCCUCCACAGUGCGUUCUCUUAUCUCGCAUUUCGCGGUCGGAUGCAACGCGCAGCGUCAACAGACAGACGACAGUGGGCGCGUUGCCCGCGCUCGAGAGGAACACCGGAAGCGGCUGCAUCGGCCAAAACAGUUCGCACGAGUUGCCUACGCUUCGUUUCGGGACCGCGCCACUACAUACGGAAGAAUUACUACUACCCGACCGCUAUCAGCGCGUACAAACCGCAGCUGCAACCGGGACUGCAACGGCGCGGCAGAGCGCUCUCAAUGGAGUACCCGCCCCGUCGAGCCAAGCCUCCAAGACGCUGCUGAUAUUUCUUCGCCCCUAUAGACUCUAUUGUCUCUGGACGUACUAGACAGCAGCGAAUGUGUCCCCACUGGAAGUAACACCAAGGAGUCAAAGUCCUCACAAGGAAGACCGACAAAAGAGAGAUUAUUGGUCUGCAAGUAGCCCACGCCAAGCCAUAAGAAGGUCAACGGUCACCAUAAUGACAACAGGUCCUCUUGAACUAUGUGCCUCACGAUGAAAUGUUUUGCAUGUUUACCAGACAGAGUGGUGUGAUCCCUAUUAGGAAAGCAACACCCUACGGUUUUGUAUCGUUCCCGAUACAAAACCGGUUUGGACGCUCCCCAACCCCUGAACUCCGACGCGCCGCGUUUAGCCAUUUCGUAUAAGGAAGCAAAAAGAAAAGGGAGAAAAUAAUGUUUUCUUUGCUCCUUGCCGCCUCGUGAUACGUGUUGCCAGCGGAAACUGAAACGGGGAAGUAUGAGCACAGAUGACUAUGAGAAGACACCACGCUCAUAGACACGACAAACGCGGGCCGAAAACCGCGCUCUGCUGCCGCAGUUCUUCGCUACUUCCUCAGAUGGCGCUGGCACCGCCACUUGUCGCCACCGCCGCCGGUGUGUCGGAAGGUCGGAACUCGGCCACUCGGCUCCCGUCGGUGCAGGCGUGCGGCAUGCUCCAAUCAUCGUUGGAUUAGCCUCAGUGAUUAUGUGUGUGCAUAAAUUGGAAUUGCAUGCAAUUUCGAAGUAGCUACAGACAAGCCAUUCAUCUCCCAUUCUGUCCCUGCGUCUAAACAUAUCGCGAAAAGCAGCGGUCUUUUUUGUUACAGAAGGCGCUUUAAGAAAUGUACAGAUCUAUCAGUGAGCCAGUCGCAAAGCCGAAACGAAGUAAAAAAAGUUAAGCGGUGCUGGCACCUAUUUGCUGUAGAUGACGUGCAUCCACAGAAAAUUGUGCAGAUCUGCUCGAUUUAUUUCUUCCUUUACAGGAAUGAUAAUCAACGGCGUGCACAGAAAGGCUAUAUAAGGAAACGCAGAGGACAAACUAGGCCACGCAUUAUCUUGCGCACAUUUGCCCUUGUGUCUAACGAUAGCGCGGUUUUAACCCACAUAUAGAAUAUUGGGCCGAGGGCGUGUUUAAUGGUCGCUAACGUAUACGCCAAGAUGCGGGACAGCAACUCCAGCCUGUGUUCGACUUCAUUCGUAUUUCAUACCGUUCAGCUGUGCAUGCAUGCUUAUGUCCUUCCGGACGCAUCAAAUCCACGUGUUGUGCUGCGAGCAGCUCCAUUUGGCAGUGGCUAGCAGGUUUUUCUCCGCGUUAUAAAUGCGUCUACACGCUUACAAUGAAUGAAUCAUACUGUGCGUAUAAUUGUAGACGCCAGAUUUUAAUUUAUGUCGUUAUGACUCAGUGAGAAAGAGGAAUAUGUCACGGAGGCGCGUCAAUCAUGUAUGCACUGCAAAUGAAAUAACUCUGCCGCAUAUUACGCUUACAACAACGUAAUCCUCACGUCACCCCUUGGUGACUGCGAGUACGGCUACGCUCACAGUAAUAUACUCGGUACGCUCGCACACUCAUCUGAGUGUGUGCUUCACUUUAUACUUAACAGCAGCGCCGUAAUAGGCAAUCAUAACGUUAUUACAAUGCUUAUCGGCCUUCUGGCAUGCAAUAAAAAGUAUAUAAUACUGUUAAUCGUAACAGCACCCGUUAGACAUAAUUGGUGUGACGCCGGCUUGCCGUCGCAGUGCAUUUUGAACCGUAAAAAGCAAAGACGCUUUCUCUUCAUAUUUAAAACUUCGAGUGGAAUAGAGAACUGCCGCUUUAAGAGCAGGUAGAACUGAUUGCAUCUGGUGCACAAUGAAACACUGCGUGGACCUAGUGUGCAAGCGCGUCAUUCUUUGAGAACAUAAUAUCAUACCAAACUCUCGAACAUACUACUCUGUGCGUAUCAAAUAAUCGUAGGAAUACAUCUAGACUCACGUUUGUGUGCCAUUUCCUGCACCGCCGCACCAUCAUUCGUAAAUGGUAAUGUGUCACAGACGAUCCAGCUGCUAUGGGCCAUAUUUCUUCGACGCCACCCAGCGAAACACCAAGCAGAACGGUGGAGAAUGCGAACCAAUCGAAUCAAACGAGCUGCAGGCCUUUAAACAUGAGGGAAGGAAAAUGACUAGGAAGAAACGUCGCGUGGCAAUUUAGACGCGGAGUAAAAUAUAUAUAUACAGUG